rnacentral:miRNA from 1 species
GGGUGCUGGGACGAUGCUGACC